UGGGGGUUUUGUUUUUUUUUGAGGUGGAGCAUCAAAGGAAGACCUGCAGCUUCUUCAGGAAGGCUUAAAAAGUGGUUUGUAUACUACACGCAAGGCUGGUAAGAGAAAGGGACUCUUCUGGAAGGAGGUGGAUGACCGCACAACAGAGAUGUUGCCUCAAGUUUUUGUUUGUUUUUUUGUUUUUUCCCAACUUGUUUUACAUCUUGUGGGUUUAUCACUUAUCAGUAUUUGGCAUUCUCUUGUGCAAAAGGAAAAAAAAUUAUGGCGGUGGAAUCAGAAUUUUAUUUUUUAAAUUAUAUACUUCGUAAUGAUUUUUGGACAGUCCACGUGUCAUUAAAAAAUUAAACAAUAUCCUAAAAUCCCAGAAUUUUUACUACACAGAUGGAAGCUGCUGUCUCUGAGUAUUGCAAUCAAAACAUGAAUUUAAAGUGGUACAGACAGCAGUGAAAUAAAGAAGUAGUUUGAGUCCAGACAAGUGCUUUUAUGUCCAUUUUUUUCCCCAGAAGAUAUGAAAUUUUUAACAAAAGGUUUGAAAUGGGAGCCUCAGUUUAGUAUUUAAAAAAACAAAACAAGAUAAAAACAAGCUCUCUUAAGUGGCCGUGGAGUUGAUUCUCUGUACUUUGUGCUUUUUAGGACCCAGUUUAGUAAUAUUGAUGGUAUAUUAACAACCCUUUAGACAAUGAGUGGGGAAAUUCAGUUACGCUGAAAAUGGCGAUUGAUCAGCUCCUAAGUGUGAGGAAAAUAAUCCAUGUGUUGCUUUUCACCAGCAAAGCAUCUGGUCCUAAUUGAGUUGUGCUGAAAACGUGUAGGUGGUCAACAUUGUUCCUCCUUUUUUUUUUUUCUUUUCUUUUUUUUUUUUCUUCUAAAUUAAUAUCAGUAUUAACCGCUGUAGGAACAUUGAGUCUGACAUUGAGUAUUUAAUCCUGUUUUGAUUGAUAAGAACAGGAAUGGAUUCAGGCUUAAUGUAAAACCUCCACGUUUACUUAUUAACAGAGUAUACUUUGUAAAUACUGUAUGAUAAUUGAUGUGAUUUCUUUUUAGUACACCGUGUAGGUUUUUUGUUUUUGUUUUUGUUUUUUGUUCACACAUGGGUAAGUGUGAAUGUUUUUUGUUUGUUUUUUCUUUGUUCAUACAACUAUUGAACAAAUUUGUGAAUAUGUUAAAAAAAAAAAAAAAGUAGAAUUUGAUUGUAUGCAGUGAUCUCAGUGUGGCUAUAUCGGAGAAAUGUCAGUUAGCGCUGUUUCCGAGUGCAGCCUGAACACAGUUGCACAGGUUGUCAAAUCCAAUUUUGGCUCGAUGCUCAGACUCCAUUGGUCCAAAAAAGAAGGAAAAAUAAGUUGUUGAAAUUUUUCCCUUUAGGUUUUGUGCCACAUUUUCCUGUUUUGUGCUCUCUGAUUGGUUCCUGCUGGUUUCGUAUAUAUUCAGUGACAAAUCAGACCAAUGUGGCUAAAACCUUGCCUCCUGACCAAUCAUGUCGAUGAAUCACGUGUGACCCUGGAUCAUAUAUAUAUUUUAGAUUUGUUCGUUGUUGACCUUUGAUUUCAGCAUAUGUUUUGUAAUGACAAAGAUCUCAACAUGUUUCCUUUCUUUCCCCCCCCCCCCCUCCCUUCAUUUACCUUACUCCCCUAUCCUCCUUACUGCCCCCCCUCCCCUCACUCCUUAAACCCUCCUCCCACAUGCCGCCAGACUUCUCGUCCUUCAGCUUGCAAGGCUGCUGCAUUGCAGGAGCACACGGAGGGAUAAGUGGGCGAAACUCCUCCAGAUGCCUGCCGGAGAGAGUGAAUUUAAGUAUUGUAUCCUGUCUGCAGUGCUUUUAAUAGUUUGUGUUGCAGCACUUUAACAACUGAAGCUGAAGGUCUAUCUGUAAUGUGCCCUCCCUAUCCCUCAUUCCCAUGGCUACAUAGAUCUGAUAGGAUAAACUGCCAUUUUGUAAAUAUUGUGUACAUAUCUUUUGGAAAGACGUCUAAUAAAAAAAAAAAAAAA
ensembl:lncRNA